rnacentral:rRNA from 1 species
UACGGAGGGGGCUAGCGUUGUUCGGAAUGACUGGGCGUAAAGCGCGCGUAGGCGGGCGGUCAAGUUGGGGGUGAAAUCCCCGGGCUCAACCUGGGAAUUGCGAUGGAGACUGCAAGGCUAGAAUCUGGCAGAGGGGGGUAGAAUUCCACGUGUAGCAGUGAAAAUGCGUAGAGAUGUGGAGGAAUACCGAUGGCGAAGGCAGCCCCCUGGGAUAACACUGACGCUCAU